UCCUACGGGGGGCAGCAGUGAGGAAUAUUGGUCAAUGGUCGGGAGACUGAACCAGCCAAGCCGCGUGAGGGAGGAAGGUACAGAGUAUCGUAAACCUCUUUUGUCAGGGAACAAAGGCGGGGACGCGUCCCCGGAUGAGUGUACCUGAAGAAAAAGCAUCGGCUAACUCCGUGCCAGCAGCCGCGGUAAUACGGAGGAUGCGAGCGUUAUCCGGAUUUAUUGGGUUUAAAGGGUGCGCAGGCGGUCUGUUAAGUCAGCGGCCAAAGCCCGGGGCUCAACCCCGGCCCGCCGUUGAAACUGGCAGU
rnacentral:rRNA from 1 species